rnacentral:lncRNA from 1 species
CUAAUGUUUGCAAAGUAAAACUUUGUUUGGCUUGCUUGCUUUGUUUGUAUAAUUGUUAAUACAAGCUUUAUAAAUUAGAUUGACAUCUUUAAACAGAUUAUAUAGGCAUUGUUUAACCUGAAUAUAUUAUAUUUGAAUUUAAUUGGGUGUUAUCCUAUGGAUUAUACAAUAUAAAAACCAAGCAAGCAAGCUAACCAAAGUUUUGUUCUACAUGCAUUAGGAAAUUAGCUGUAAA